rnacentral:rRNA from 1 species
CAGCAAAACCGACGAGGUGGAGCAAAUCUCGAAAAAACGUACUCAGUUCGGAUUGUAGGCUGCAACCCGCCUACAUGAAGUCGGAAUUGCUAGUAAUCGUGGAUCAGCAUGCCACGGUGAAUACGUUCCCGGGCCUUGUACACACCGCCCGUCAAACCAUGAGAGUUGGCAACACCCGAAGCCUGUAGCUUAACCGCAAGGAUGGCGCAGUCGAAGGUGGGGUCGAUGAUUAGGGUUAAGUCGUAACAAGGUAAC